rnacentral:rRNA from 1 species
AUGCUAGGGAAGCAAGGAUGGCGUUUGAUCACUCAUCCGGACUCCCUCUGCUCCAGAGUUCUGAACGGGAAGUAUUUCCCGCUGACAGAUUUCCAAAAUGCUACGGCCCCAGUUCGGUCUUCAACCACCUGGAAAGCCAUUAUAGCAGGACGGAAGGCCCUCGACACGGGACUCAUCAAACGCGUCGGGGAUGGUUCGUCGAUCUCGACGUGGACAAAUCGAUGGAUCCCUAGUACCAUCUCUCUGAAACCUACAGGUCGCAUUGGUGAUGCCCAACUUGACAGAGUUUCAGACUUGAUCGACAACUACACACAAGGUUGGAAAGUGGAAGUUGUAAGGCAGAAUUUCCUCCACCCAGAUGCAGAGGCCAUAUUGAACAUUCCCUUGAAUUCUGCGGGAGGCGAAGAUACAAUUGCUUGGGCCCUCGAAAAAUCCGGCAUCUACUCUGUUAAAUCAGCGUAUCGUUCUCUUGUGACUCACAACGAGCUUGGCUCUCUAGAGGAAGGGACGAUCACAGAAACCUCAAGGACAGAUAAACAGACAUGGGAUGCUCUUUGGAAACUUCAUGUGGUGCCCAAAGUACGAGUCUUCUGGUGGCGAGUUUUGAGAGGUAUCCUUCCGGACUCGGUCACUCUUCAACAUAGACAUAUCAAAACUCAAAGCAUAUGCGACAUCUGCAAAGCCAUGAAUGAGGAUCUGAUGCAUGCACUCAUACACUGUGUGCACGCUAAAGCUUUCUGGAUAGCAGCGAAGGAUCGGUUUGAAUUUUCACUUCCGAGACUUCAUCCAGAUUCUUGGGCUAGAGAUAUCUUGCUCGACGACAUGUUUUCCGAUGACACAAGGUGCAAGAUUAUUACCAUUAUGCACUCCAUAUGGACUUCACGGAACCACUGGACACAUGACAGGGAUGGAUAUGAACCCGUUCACGCGAUCAAGUGA